rnacentral:sRNA from 23 species
UGCCCACCUUCGGGUUAAGGCCAUACGGACAGCCGGGGCAACUGCCGA